rnacentral:lncRNA from 1 species
GGACCUACGGCGCCCCGCGGCCCCCCACCUGGCCGUUCCACCCUUCCUCUUUCGUCUUUGUGUUAUACUUUCGAUCCCUCUGGUUUGGAAUUAUAUCCUUUCCUAAAUCCAGACACAGGAUGAGGUUGCUAUCUUGAGGGAUUUUUUCCCACUCAAAGGCGAAUCAGCGAACUGCGCAGCCGAUGGAGAGAGCAGCGGCCGAUUCCCGCAGCAGCAGCAGCAGCACCGCCGCCGUUCAAGCGACCAACGACGAUGCUGCCGCCAGCAAGCUGUGCGUGUCCAUCACCCCUCGU